rnacentral:lncRNA from 1 species
GGCUGACGAGGGGUGGACAGCAUGGAGAGAUGAGGAUCCAGUAGAGGAGGAAUGCGUGGAUGGCUAAUAAGACCCCCGCAGAGCAGCUACACAGGAAACAGGAGCAUCUAUAGAAUAAACCGGAACAAAUUGAAUAAUCAACACGUGUAACAUAACGGAAUAGAAAAGCCUAUAUUAGACAAUCAAGGCUUGCAAUAUAGUUGCCAUGGAGAUGAGCAAGUCUCCCAAGCCUCGUCAUUUCUCUGACUCCUCCCGUGAACGCUGGGAUAAAAAUAGACAUGGGCAGAGAACAAAGAGCUAUUAAAAAAAAAAAAAAGACGAGUGAAGAAAAAAGGUUGUGGAAAAAAAAUCGGGACGCGCGUAUGGAAGUGUGCGCGUGCGUCCGGGGCGGCGCGCGUGUGUCUGUUUAGUGAAUGGAAUGGUGCGAGGCCACCAUGCAACAGUGUUUUCCCAUCAAACGGAGCGGACUGAUAAACAUAGCUGCUGCCUGUGUGGGCAAGGGAAUCCCAUCAUUAGCAUGUGGCGCUAUUAAAGCGGGAGGAGGCUGAGCGCGCGGCUAGCAGCUAGCUACCGCUCCGAAUGGAAGUCCCCCUCCUCCUCUAAUUAUCAGCGUUAACUUUAUUAGCGGUAGUAACACUGGGAGUGAAACUGUGAAUAUAUUCACAUUUAUUCCAACAGCUUUUGUGCUGUUUACUACGUGUGCGGCUGCUCUGUUACACGAUGCAUGUCUUUAUAUAGCAUCAAAUAAGCUAAGCCAGCGACAAACCUCAACUGAAAGUAGGUUUAGUAGGUUGACUCAGGGGAGGAGACGGCUCGGUGAGAGACCCAGAGAGUGGCAGCUGGCCCCGGAUAACAGGACAACUGCUAAUGGGACGCCCCAUCUGCUGCUCCUUUUUUUCCUGGCCGUCCCGGCGCCAACCUCUGGGCCUCUGGAAACGCUCCUGAGCUCUCCUGCUGUUUGGCAUUUCAUCAUAUCAUGACGUUAUUUACCCCAACCUCCACAGUCGCCCCCCCAAAACAUUUGAAACUGCAACUUCUAGUGCAUGAAAUCAAAUGGCAAAUGAUCUGAUUUAUGGAAAGUGGCAGCGGGAAGUCGCCGAGUGUCACAGAUUCAAAAGGGGAUGGAGAAAAAGCGGCGACUAAAGGCUGACAGGAUGAAUGACUCACUGACAAGAGGCUGGACCCAGUUGCACAUAAAUAUAAUAUGGGGAGCAAGAUACAAAUGUACAAAAGUACAAAUUCAAAACGCAGAAGUAUCAAAGCAACACUUAAAACAGAAGCGAGGAGAACCAAUUACUGCUCAAUUUACAGCUUAACAAUCAUUAUGCCAAAUUACAGCAUGAUGGAAAGCAAAGUCCAAAACAUACACACACAUAUACUGGAAACCGAUGUGACACGAUGCACCAGCCAAUGAAGAGCAUGUGAGAAACGAGUCCUUAUCUACUGGCUCCCCUAAAGGAAGCACUGCCCCCUCGGACCUCUCUGAUUUGUAAAGUGCAAAGCACCCCUCUACCUCGCAGUAUAUAUUAUAACCUCCUUUCUCCUGUGCUGGAUUUAUAGUCACCAUCAGUCACUUGUCUUCAUGCUGGACACUAGACUAAUGAUGGUGAUGCUGAUGCGAGAGGCCCUCCGCUUCCUCAUUCCUUCACCCUCCUGCCUGAGCGAGCAACACAUGGAUCAAACCUGCCUGUGCAGCACCAUCUGGUGACCACUGCUGUGAGUCAGGAAUCUCUCUCACAGAUGAAUGAGGGGGAAUGAAAUUCAGCUCCCACUCAUAUUUUUUCCUCCCUUCUUGUAAUACCGCUGUGAUCCUCUGGAUGGUGUCUCAAUCCUGUGCUCUUUUUCCUCACUGGCGGUGUGGGGGGAUUUUAAGGGCCACACACAGACAAGCAUGGAGAUUCUCAUCUGUUCUUUUAGGAGACUUUACUCUUUGCCACACACUGCAUGAAUGAUUUUCUUAGUGAAGGCUUUUCUCUAGCACUGACAUGGCCCAUGUUAUUGUUUUCACCUCCACCUACAAGAACAGCUCUGAUUAAUAAUACUGAAGUAAGUGUUUCACAGAGCUCUUGAUUAUAUUGAAGAUCCUGAUCACUGAUGUCUCUAAACCUUGGGGGGUGGGGGGUUAAUUAAAGCAAUUAAAUUAAUAAAAAGGAUGAUGACAAAGUACUGAAAUAAUUA